GUUUCAGAUUGGUAUAUAGAGAUCAAAAAGGGGUUUCUGUGAAAUCCCUUUAGGGUUGUCAGAUUUUGGUCGCCCUAUUUGAUGCUUGGAUUCGGAGAAGGUUUGUCGUAUUGCUGCAGAAUGGAUGGAGAAUGAUGGUGCAGGCUACCAAUCUUGGUUGAUGCAUGAUGCUUGACAAUUCCAACUUGGCAUUCAGAUGGAAGCAAAACAUGGCAAGCUGGUUGAUUGAUCAAGAAGGAUUGUUGCCUUCAUGCUGCGGAGUUGUUGAAUAGGAGAUGCUUGUUAGCCUUGUGCUCAUGUCUGGCAAUGUCAAAUUGGAUACAAGGUUUAUGUGGUGAGCAAAGUGGUUUACAUUGGUCAUGUAUAAUGCAUUGGAGGUAUGCCGGCGUGCAGGUUCUGCAGGUUGUUAA